ensembl:lncRNA
CUUCAUGUCGCGAUAGUCUUUAUACAACAGGACCUUCAUGUCACGAUAGUCUUUAUACAACAGGACCUUCAUGUCACGAUAGUCUUUAUACAAGACCUUCAUGUCAGGUCCUACAAUCCUUCCAUCACACCAGGACCUAUUAGUGUCCCGUUACCUCCAUCCUCAUGUCACGACAGUGUCUCCAUGUCGUGAUAGUAUCAGCUCAGGGCCAGGCCAGCAGCGGCGCCGCGGGGAUUCGAACCCCGUCCCUCAGGGAGUGCCACCACCGGCGCCUUUUGCUUUUUUUUGGCCUUAUUUUGCUCAUUUUUGUGGCCCGAAGGAGAAAAGCAAAACCUGAGACAACAACAGUGUUGCUCAGGAAAAGAAAACCUGGCCCGGGGAGGGGAAUGGGGUCCCCCCACCAAACCCCGACCCCUUUUUUGUUGUGUUUUAACCCAAUUUGAGGGCAUGGGAGGGGGGGUAAAGCGUGAAGCCGGGGGGGCCCCCGUUGCCCAUUGUGGGUGAUGUCAGUGGGCAUAGUUCUAUAUGAAGGGGGUUGGCUUGAAUUUAGGGGGAGGCUGAGCUCAGAUUUUGGGGUGAUUUAGUGAGGUUUUGGGGUUAAAGGAAGUAAAGGUGAUCACCUGGCUGCUUCCGCCGUGGGUCCGGCCGCGCCGCCACCUCCUGGAAGGCAAUGGCGGACACACAUCAGGGGUUUCUCGGCGUCGAUUCGAGGUUGAAGAGGUUUUGGGUUUGUUUUGGGGCUUUUUUAUAUCAUUUUUUUUUAAAGCAUUUCUCCUCUCUUUGGGUUGUUUUGGGGCUGUUUUAUGUCGCUGCGAAGCUGCCUCAAUGGAGAGCAAGAAAACGAGGGGGGGGGAGAGAAAAGAAAACAACAAAACACAACAGACCCCCCCCCCCUAAAAAUAAACCCCACAACACCACUGCCAUUUUGGGGAGAAUAAGUGGGAAAUGGGUACAAACCUCCCCCCUCCCCUCAAUGCACACCAAAAAGUGACUUCUUUCACUUCAAUGCCCGCUGAAGGGCAUGGAGCUGCGCACUGCUGUGCAGGCCGCUCAUUUUGGGGUUAUUUCUGGCCAUUUUGGGGCCAUUUUCGGCCAUUUUGGGGCCAUUUCCAGCCAUUUUGGGGGGGCAUUUCCUGCCACCGUUUGUUUUUCAUUCUCAAAUGGGUAGAAAACAAGCAAAAUUAGGGCUGAAAUGGGGCCGACCCACCCCGGGGUGAACCUAACGCCAUCGCCCCGAAUCCACCCACAUCUCCAAUUUGGGUGAAAAACAGCACAAAUACCUAUUUUUUUUUCCUCCCUUAUCCUAUACGUAGCUUUUUGUUUUUUUUUAUGGGGGAGAUGGUUUUGCUGCCGUGUUUCUCUCUGCCUUUUCGCCUCAGGAGUCCACGCUGCCUCGGUUUUGGGGCAAAUUCCCGCAGUUUUGGUGCUCUCACUGAUCUGUGCCGAAGAUCCCUUUGCUGCCAACACCCAGCGCCCUUUGCUUUUUGCCUUUUUUGCCCUCAAAAUCCGACGGUUCAAGGCUAAAACACCUACGAGACAGAAUCCCCCCCCCCUCAACGUCAGCCCCCGUUUGGGGUAAAAACGCUCCUUUUAGCUACUUCAGCCACAAUCACUCCCCUUUUCACACCCCUCGCGUCGGAAAGGAGGAGGAGAUGGGGGUGGGUGGUGGGUGGGAGGGGUUGUUUUUGGGGCAAUUUCAAACAGAAUCGGGGUCCCAACACACCCGGCUCCUCCCGCGCGUCCCAACCUCCAAAAACACCGGAUUUCCCCCCAAAAUGCGUCGCAGCCGCUCACAGAA